GUUGAACGCUGGCGGCAUGCUUUACACAUGCAAGUCGAACGGCAGCGCGGGCUUCGGCCUGGCGGCGAGUGGCGAACGGGUGAGUAAUACAUCGGAACGUGCCCAGUAGUGGGGGAUAGCUCGGCGAAAGCCGGAUUAAUACCGCAUACGACCUGAGGGCGAAAGCGGGGGAUCUUCGGACCUCGCGCUAUUGGAGCGGCCGAUGGCAGAUUAGCUAGUUGGUGGGGUAAAGGCCUACCAAGGCGACGAUCUGUAGCUGGUCUGAGAGGACGACCAGCCACACUGGGACUGAGACACGGCCCAGACUCCUACGGGAGGCAGCAGUGGGGAAUUUUGGACAAUGGGCGAAAGCCUGAUCCAGCAAUGCCGCGUGUGUGAUGAAGGCCUUCGGGUUGUAAAGCACUUUUGGCGGGAACGAAAAGGACUGUGCCAAUACCACGGUUCGAUGACGGUACCCGCAGAAUAAGCACCGGCUAACUACGUG
rnacentral:rRNA from 1 species